CAUCCGUCCGUCUGUCCAC
rnacentral:miRNA from 1 species